GUAGUUUCGCAAUUACAGUUUAACUAAUGCCAGCAACAGGACUUUUUAUCCAAAAUGUGCUCAGUGCCCUGAAACUGCGCCGAAGCAAAGCAAUCAAGCUGGGAAAAUUAUAAAAACUUAUGCAUACCAAUGCAUGCAAAACUGCAGUUUUCCAAGUCGCUUAAAAACACCAACAAUGUUGUGAAAACUUUCUUGGCUCAAGGCGUGUGGUUGUGGGCCAUCGGGGAUAAAGUUGGCCCCCAUCUUAUGGAAAUUUCAAGAAUUUGGAAGUAUUUUAAUUAAGUUCAUAUGCCAAUAAUAAACUUCGCAGAUGCCAGCAAAAAGGAUGACAAAAUAAAAACAAGUUUUUCAGAUUUUAAUAACCGUGUUCUCAUCAUCAAUUUCGUCCAUUUGCAGGAUUGUGUACAUUUUUACAGUCUCAUGUCGUACAAGACAAAAGGGAAAAUUCCCAUGAGUGCAUUUUAAAUUGCAAACUAAAUGAGCAGUUGCUUCUGUAGCUGUGGAAGACAACUGAGUACAGAAAGUCACUCGUGUCGCUUGCAGAUACAAACAAAAAAAUAACAAAACCCAGCAGAACAUACAAUUCCAUUCUACAAAUAUCUCCGGGGCCAAGCAGAUUGUCGGAGUGAUGAUAAUCGGCAUGAACCAAACGGAAUCGGGGCCCCUGGCAACCGGGGACCGACUCAGUGGAUAUGCGAGCAGCGGGAACAGUGUCCGCUAUCUCGACGACCGACAUCCCUUGGAUUACUUGGACCUGGGAUCCGUAGUGAGCAACGCCCACGCCGCUCUCAACUCGACGGCCACCAGCAACUUAUCGGAUGCGAACGAUACGGGAGCUCGGCCUCUUGAUCCAGUGUUAAUCGACCGGUUCCUGAGCAACCGGGCAGUGGACAGCCCAUGGUACCAUAUGCUCAUCAGUAUGUACGGCGUACUGAUUGUGUUCGGCGCCCUGGGCAACACCCUAGUGGUCAUUGCAGUCGUCCGGAAGCCCAUCAUGCGCACGGCCCGCAACCUCUUCAUCCUUAACUUGGCCAUCUCGGAUUUACUUUUAUGCCUGGUUACCAUGCCGCUGACACUAAUGGAAAUCCUAUCCAAAUACUGGCCUUUUGGGUCCUGCUCCAUCCUGUGCAAAACGAUUGCCAUGCUGCAGGCACUCUGCAUUUUCGUGUCGACAAUAUCCAUAACGGCCAUCGCCUUCGACCGAUAUCAGGUUAUUGUCUACCCCACGCGAGAUAGUCUGCAGUUUGUGGGCGCAGUGACCACCCUGGCGUGUAUUUGGGCCUUGGCCCUGCUCCUGGCAUCACCGCUCUUUAUCUACAAGGAGCUGAUAAACACGGACACACCCACUCUGCUGCAACAGAUUGGCUUCCAGGACACCAUACCCUUUUGCAUCGAGGACUGGCCGAGCAGCAACGGUCGCUUCUAUUACUCGAUCUUCUCGCUGUGCGUCCAGUACCUGGUGCCCAUCCUGAUUGUCUCUGUGGCCUAUUUUGGGAUCUACAACAAGCUGAAGAGCCGCAUCACCGUGGUGGCCGUCCAGGCCGCCUCCGCCCAGCGGAAGGUGGAGCGGGGACGGCGGAUGAAGCGGACCAACUGCCUCCUGAUCAGCAUCGCCGUAAUCUUCGGAGUGUCCUGGCUGCCGCUGAAUUUCUUCAACCUGUACGCGGACAUGCAGCAGUCGCCGGUGACCCAGAACAUGCUUGUGAAGUACGCCAUCUGUCACAUGAUUGGCAUGAGCUCCGCCUGCUCCAACCCGCUGCUCUACGGCUGGCUCAACGACAACUUCCGUAAAGAAUUUCACGAACUGCUCUGCCGUUGCUCAGAACCCACUAAUGUUGCUCUUAACGGUCACACGACAGGAUGCAACGUCCAGGCGGCAGCGGCCCGGCGGCGCCGCAAGCUGGGCGGCGACCUCACCAAGGGCGAGCUGAAGUUGCUGGGCAAGGGCGGGGCCUCCCAGUGCGGCGGUGGCGCCUCAACUUUCGGCGACGGUGGCGGCCCGGACGGCGGUUGCGGCAGCAUGGCCGCCACCGACUUCAUGACCGGAAACCCAGAGUACGGACAUCGCAGCGCUAUCACCGAGUCUGUGGCCCUCACGGAGAACCCCAUGCCCUCGGAGGUCACCAAACUGAUGCCGCGGUAAAGCACACGAGUUCUGGGGCAAAGCCGGGGGUCCCACGGUCCCAAGGUCCUCACGUCCUCAGUUUGGAACAGUACUGAAUUGGCAAUCAAUCCGGGAGCAGCGGGAGGCGGGAACAGUGUUCGAGUGAUGCGAUUUCCAGUUCGCUCUUAGAAUUUACAGUAAACAUAUGUAUAAUGCCCAGUGAUCCAAAGCCAAGCUGAGUUACACUAAAAUUAAGACACACAUCGCGGAGGAGUCUCUAGCCCUGUGCGAUAAUCUAUUCCUACACGAGCAUCCAAUCACCGACAUCAUCUCCAUCAUCGGACUAAGUCAGAUCUUUGGUUUCCAUCACUUUCGUAUCGAAUGCCGGAAAGUAAUUGAUUGAGCCCCCAAUUGGAUUUCGGGUGUUUGAUAAGUCGUAUAUAUAUAGAACACUUAAGACUUUGAUUAAGUUCUCUUAAUACAGUUCCUAGGAAAACCUUUCUUUUUUUCUCUCAGAGUAUUUCGUAUCAUAAUACCUAAAUGUAAGCCUAGGGUUAGUAAUAAUUGAUGUUCUGUUUGCUGUUUGCUAUUUUUAGGAUAACAUAAUUCACAAGCAAAUCUGUAUUAUAGUCCAUAACUGUAAACCUAAACAUUAAAUGAAAUGCCAGUUUUAGCCACAAUUGAAUCAUUUCAAAGCAAACGCUUGCCACCUUCAAGCAGUACACCAAUAAUGCUACAAAUACAUGUAUUUUAAUAAAUGUUGUUUACAAAUCCUGCA